GAUGAACGCUAGCGAUAGGCCUAACACAUGCAAGUCGAGGGGCAGCAUGAUUGAAGCUUGCUUCAAUUGAUGGCGACCGGCGCACGGGUGAGUAACACGUAUGCAACCUACCUGCAACAGGGGGAUAGCCCGGAGAAAUCCGGAUUAAUACCGCAUAAUACAAUUAUAUUGCAUGAUAUGAUUGUUAAAGAUUUAUCGGUUGUAGAUGGGCAUGCGUUCCAUUAGCUAGUUGGUAAGGUCACGGCUUACCAAGGCAACGAUGGAUAGGGGAACUGAGAGGUUUGUCCCCCACACUGGAACUGAGACACGGACCAGACUCCUACGGGAGGCAGCAGUGAGGAAUAUUGGUCAAUGGGCGAGAGCCUGAACCAGCCAAAUCGCGUGAAGGAUGACUGCCUUAUGGGUUGUAAACUUCUUUUAUAUGGGAAUAAAAAGGCUUACGCGUAGGCUAUUGCAUGUACCAUAUGAAUAAGCAUCGGCUAACUCCGUGCCAGCAGCCGCGGUAAUACGGAGGAUGCGAGCGUUAUCCGGAUUUAUUGGGUUUAAAGGGUGCGCAGGCGGGCUUUUAAGUCAGCGGUGAAAUCUCGACGCUCAACGUCGAAACUGCCGUUGAAACUGGGAGCCUUGAGUAUAGAUGAAGUAGGCGGAAUUCGUUGUGUAGCGGUGACAUGCAUAGAUAUAACGAGGAACCCCAAUUGCGUAGGCAGCUUACUAAACUAUAACUGACGCUCAAGCACGAUGAUUACUAGCUGUUUGCGAAAUUAAGAGCAAGUGGCUAAGCGAAAGCGAUAAGUAAUCCACCUGGGGAGUACGCCGGCAACGGUGAAACUCAAAGGAAUUGACGGGGGCCCGCACAAGCGGAGGAACAUGUGGUUUAAUUCGACGAUACGCGAGGAACCUUACCCGGGCUUGAAAUGCAUCUGACGAUAGAGGAAACUUUAUUUCUAGCAAUAGCAGAUGUGUAGGUGCUGCAUGGUUGUCGUCAGCUCGUGCCGUGAGGUGUCGGCUUAAGUGCCAUAACGAGCGCAACCCACAUUGUCAGUUACUAACAGGUCAAGCUGAGGACUCUGGCAAGACUGCCGGCGUAAGCCGCGAGGAAGGUGUGGAUGACGUCAAAUCAGCACGGCCCUUACGUCCGGGGCGACACACGUGUUACAAUGGACAGGACAAAGGGUUGCUACUUGGUGACAAGAUGCUAAUCUCAAAACCUGUUCCCAGUUCGGAUUGGAGUCUGCAACUCGACUCCAUGAAGCUGGAUUCGCUAGUAAUCGCGCAUCAGCCAUGGCGCGGUGAAUACGUUCCCGGGCCUUGUACACACCGCCCGUCAAGCCAUGGAAGCCGGGGGUAUCUGAAGUACGUAACCGCAAGGAGCGUCCUAGGGUAAAACUGGUAACUGGGGCU
rnacentral:rRNA from 1 species